rnacentral:ncRNA from 1 species
GUUUCAGGGCGGGGUGUAAUUCCCCACCGGCGGUGAAAGCCCGCGACCACCUUUUUGGGUGCUGAUCUGGUGAGAUUCCAGAGCCGACGGUAUAGUCCGGAUGAAAGAAA